rnacentral:rRNA from 1 species
GAGCACGUAGGUGGGUUUGUAAGUCAGAUGUGAAAGCCUCCUGUUCAACGGGAGAAUUGCAUCUGAAACUGCAGAUCUUGAGUGUAGGAGGGGAGAAUGGAACUUCUGGUGGAGCGGUGAAAUGCGUAGAUAUCAGAAGGAACGCCGGCGGCGAAAGCGAUUCUCUGGCCUAUUACUGACACUCAGUGUGCGAAAGCUAGGGGAGCAAACGGGAUUAGAUACCCCGGUAGUCCUAGCCGUAAACGAUGGGCACUAAGUAGAGGGAAUUACCGAUAUUCUCUCUGCCGUAGCUAACGCAUUAAGUGCCCCGCCUGGGGAGUACGGCCGCAAGGCUAAAACUCAAAAGAAUUGACGGGGGCUCGCACAAGCGGUGGAGCAUGUGGCUUAAUUCGAUGCAACGCGAAGAACCUUACCGGGGCUUGACAUGGUAGAAGUAGGAACCCGAAAGGGUAACGAACGGUAUCCAGUCCGUAGCUAUUACAGGUGUUGCAUGGCUGUCGUCAGCUCGUGUCGUGAGACGUUGGGUUAAGUCCCCUAACGAGCGAAACCCUUGUUUUUAGUUGCCAGCGGGUUAUGUCGGGCACUCUAGAAAGACUGCCGUCGUCAAGACGGAGGAAGGUGGGGAUGACGUCAAGUCAUCAUGGCCCUUAUGCCCCGGGCUGCACACGUGCUACAAUGGUCGGUACAAACGGAAGCGAAGCCGAGAGGUGAAGCGAAUCC